rnacentral:rRNA from 1 species
ACAUGCCUACAUCAUAGUGUUAAUGCACCAGAUCCCAUUAGAACUUCGCAGUUAAGCGCGCUUAGGCUAGAGUAGUACUAGGAUGGGUAACCUCCUAGGAAGUCCUAAUGUUUUACAUGCC